UACGUAGGUGGCAAGCGUUGUCCGGAUUUACUGGGCGUAAAGAGCGCGCAGGCGGUCGUUCAAGUCGCGUGUGAAAGCCCCCGGCUCAACUGGGGAGGGUCACGCGAUACUGAUCGACUCGAAGGCAGGAGAGGGUAGUGGAAUUCCCGGUGUAGUGGUGAAAUGCGUAGAUAUCGGGAGGAACACCAGUGGCGAAGGCGGCCUGCUGGGCAGUAGCUGACGCUGAUGCGCGACAGCGUGGGGAGCAACAGG
rnacentral:rRNA from 1 species